UACGUAGGUGGCAAGCGUUGUCCGGAAUUAUUGGGCGUAAAGCGCGCGCAGGCGGUUCUUUAAGUCUGAUGUGAAAGCCCACGGCUCAACCGUGGAGGGUCAUUGGAAACUGGAGAACUUGAGUACAGAAGAGGAAAGCGGAAUUCCACGUGUAGCGGUGAAACGCGUAGAGAUGUGGAGGAACACCAGUGGCGAAGGCGGCUUUCUGGUCUGUAACUGACGCUGAGGCGCGAAAGCGUGGGGAGCAAACAGG
rnacentral:rRNA from 1 species